GGUCAAGCUACUAAGGGCGCAUGGUGGAUGCCUUGGCAGAAGCAGGCGAUGAAGGACGUGGCAAGCUGCGAUAAGCCUCGGGGAGCCGCAAGUAGGCAUUGAU
rnacentral:rRNA from 1 species